GAUGAACGCUGGCGGCGUGCCUCAAACAUGCAAGUCGAGCGAGGCUAUGAGUUACCGCAAGGUAAGGCAUAGCCUAGCGGCGAACGGGUGAGUAACACGUGGGUAACCUACCUGGAAGACAGGGAUAACGAUUCGAAAGGGUCGCUAAUACCUGAUAAUAUCCAUCUGCCGGAUGGCGGAGGGAAGAAAGGGGAAACCCGCUUUCAGAUGGGCCCGCGUCCCAUCAGCUAGUUGGUAAGGUAAAGGCUUACCAAGGCGACGACGGGUAGCCGGUCUGAGAGGAUGUACGGCCACACUGGGACUGAGAUACGGCCCAGACUCCUACGGGAGGCAGCAGUUGGGAAUCUUAGGCAAUGGACGAAAGUCUGACGCAGCAACGCCGCGUGAAGGAUGACGGCCUUCGGUUGUAACGUUCUGUUGGAUGGGAAAAAGACCUAGGAAUAGGAAUUAGAUGGUACCAUUCGAGUAAGCACCGGCUAACUACGUGCCAGCAGCCGCGGUAACAUACUCGUA
rnacentral:rRNA from 1 species